rnacentral:tRNA from 1 species
GGUUCCGUGGUGUAGGGGUUAACAUGCCUGCCUGUCACGCAGGAGAUCGCGGGUUCAAAUCCCGCCGGGACCG